rnacentral:rRNA from 1 species
CAGCAGCCGCGGUAAUACAGAGGGUGCGAGCGUUAAUCGGAUUUACUGGGCGUAAAACGUGCGUAGGCGGCUUUUUAAGUCGGAUGUGAAAUCCCUGAGCUUAACUUAGGAAUUGCAUUCGAUACUGCGAAGCUAGAGUAUGGGAGAGGAUGGUAGAAUUCUAGGUGUAGCGGUGAAAUGCGUAGAGAUCUGGAGGAAUACCGAUGGCGAAGGCAGCCAUCUGGCCUAAUACUGACGCUGAGGUACGAAAGCAUGGGGAGCAAACAGGAUUAGAUACCCCAGUAGUCCCUGUCUCUUAUAC